UUAAUUGAAGAGUUUGAUCAUGGCUCAGAUUGAACGCUGGCGGCAGGCCUAACACAUGCAAGUCGAGCGGCAGCACAGAGGAACUUGUUCCUUGGGUGGCGAGCGGCGGACGGGUGAGUAAUGCCUGGGAAAUUGCCCGGUAGAGGGGGGAUAACCAUUGGAAACGAUGGCUAAUACCGCAUAACCUCGCAA
rnacentral:rRNA from 1 species